GACGAACGCUGGCGGCGUGCUUAACACAUGCAAGUCGAACGGAAAGGCCCUGCUUUUGUGGGGUGCUCGAGUGGCGAACGGGUGAGUAACACGUGAGUAACCUGCCCUUGACUUUGGGAUAACUUCAGGAAACUGGGGCUAAUACCGGAUAGGAGCUCCUGCUGCAGGGUGGGGGUUGGAAAGUUUCGGCGGUUGGGGAUGGACUCGCGGCUUAUCAGCUUGUUGGUGGGGUAGUGGCUUACCAAGGCUUUGACGGGUAGCCGGCCUGAGAGGGUGACCGGCCACAUUGGGACUGAGAUACGGCCCAGACUCCUACGGGAGGCAGCAGUGCGGAAUAUUGCACUAUGGGCGGAAGCCUGAUGCAGCACCGCCGCGUGCGGGAUGACGGCCUUCGGGUUGUAAACCGCUUUCGCCUGUGCCGAAGCGUGAGUGACGGUAAUGGGUAAAGAAGCACCGGCUAACUACGUG
rnacentral:rRNA from 1 species